rnacentral:rRNA from 1 species
GAAAGCUUGCUUUUGAUGGGCGUCGACCGGCGCACGGGUGAGUAACGCGUAUCCAACCUGCCCAUCACUUGGGGAUAACCUUGCGAAAGUAAGACUAAUACCCAAUGAUAUCUCUAGAAGGCAUCUGAAAUAGAUUAAAGAUUUAUCGGUGAUGGAUGGGGAUGCGUCUGAUUAGCUUGUUGGCGGGGUAACGGCCCACCAAGGCUACUAUCAGUAGGGGUUCUGAGAGGAAGGUCCCCCACAUUGGAACUGAGACACGGUCCAAAACUCCUACGGGAGGCAGCAGUGAGGAAUAUUGGUCAAUGGACGAGAGUCUGAACCAGCCAAGUAGCGUGCAGGAUGACGGCCCUAUGGGUUGUAAACAGCUUUUAUAAGGGAAUAAAGUGAGUCUCGUGAGGCUUAUUGCAUGUACCUUAUGAAUAAGGACCGGCUAAUUCCGUGCCAGCAGCCGCGGUAAUACGGAAGGUCCGGGCGUUAUCCGGAUUUAUUGGGUUUAAAGGGAGCGUAGGCCGGAGAUUAAGCGUGUUGUGAAAUGUAGACGCUCAACGUCUGCACUGCAGCGCGAACUGGUUUCCUUGAGUACGCACAAAGUGGGCGGAAUUCGUGGUGUAGCGGUGAAAUGCUUAGAUAUCACGAAGAACUCCGAUUGCGAAGGCAGCUCACUGGAGCGCAACUGACGCUGAAGCUCGAAAGUGCGGGUAUCGAACAGGAUUAGAUACCCUGGUAGUCCGCACGGUAAACGAUGGAUGCCCGCUGUUGGUCUGAAUAGGUCAGCGGCC